UCCCUGGCUGUCUAGCAGUUAAGACUCUGAACUUCUCCUGCAGAGGGCGCAGGUUCAAUUCCUGGUCAGGGAA
rnacentral:tRNA from 1 species